UCGGUCAGGCUCUCUGGUCCGCCCGAGCACGACUCUUUGAUAGAUGCUACCUGUGACAAAUUGACAACAUAUACACGAAGUUUCAACGCUUUUCUCGACGUAAUCUUGCUUAAUUCCUUUCAAGGCAUGUCACAAGGCAACAUAUUUUUAGUUUCCAUUGGUUAAUUGAUGAAAAUUAUAAUUCAUUAAUUUGUGUCUUGGCUAAUAAGUCUAGUCAAAGGUUAUUUUAUCAGCUGGCCCGUUAACCAUGAAAAUCAUCACUGAAUGAUCUUAAUUUGACAUAAAAUGAACCUACAGUGAUCAAAGAUGAUCACAUCUGCAGGAAUAAGCUGUGAAACAAUUUUUUCGGUUAUAGCAAAUUGACGUCAAAAUACUCCUGAAACGUAAAAAGGCGACCCAGAUUAAUCCGCCUGAAAACAUGGGGAUCCUCUCUGUGCCUACUGUGUAGGUGACAUCCCAUACAUUGAAACAACAGAGGAAAACUCUAGCUGCUGCUCGUCCAGUACACUUCAGAGAAGUAUACUACACUGCUCAUAGAAGAGCUCCAACAUCUUGCUGCACAUGUCAAAGGAUCUCAGUUUCCUCUUCUGUAAGGAAAGGAACACAGUGUGAUGUCGGGGAUAUUGGCUCGCAGACCGAGAUUUAACUCCAGGACAUGGUUCAAAAACAUCUUGAACUUCAACUAGAGAGGAUGUUACUGUCAGGACUGCUCUGGUAGCUGUGGCAGCAGGAUGAAUUUUCAGCCGGGGUGGGGGGUGCCAUAUGGGAGCUCAGAAAAAUGGAAGUGGAUCGGAGAUAGACAUGAGAGGAAUCUGUCAUUCUUGGGCUCGGAUAUCGGGAUCUUUGUGAGAGGCGAACUAAAAACUGACCCAAGCUGCAAAACCCCCCGAGCGAGACACUUCCUAUGAAGGGAGCCCUGGCAGUCAAACAUCUUUCACCGUGCUUAAAGCGAUGAUGAGGAAGAGGAAGAAGAAAGAAAGGUGGGGAGGGGAUUGAAGUGAAGUGGAGGAGGCGUUUCCUGCAAGCAGAGUCAAGCAACCUUCCCUCAUACCCCCUCCUCUCCCUCGCCUCUGCUCCUCAUCAGUAUGCAGUGUCGGUCGCUCAGGUGACACAGCCGCUGGAUUCGGUCCCGACUGCAGGAACAUCAGCAGCGUGGUGGAGCGCGGGAUCGCAGGUAAGGACAAUGAGAACAGGCGGGAGAAAAUGAGGAGAGACAGGGAGAGAGGGAGGGAGGGAGGGAGGAGGAGAGACAGGGGAGGGACUAUUUUUAAGAACCUAACACCCCCACACAUACGAACACUUGUGCACUUUGUACUGCUGUAAUCCUGCACACAUAUUCUCAGGGUUCAAGCUCAAACUCUAAUCUGCAUUAAAAAUGUUAAACGUGUUUUUACUUCAAUACAAAAAGCAACUAUCUCUAUCUGCUGAGUUAAACUAGUGAAGGUCCGUCAGGAAUGAGUCUGUGGGAUCAUACAGUUUGUACAUGAAAGAACAUUUUUGCAAUUUGUGCAGCGUUUGAAAAAAACAUUAAUUUUUAUUUCUUGUUUUUAAAUCAACAGAAAGUUUGAUUGUAAUUAAAAAUGUUUGAUGUAGACGAGACUAUUUCUGCUUUUCUCUUGCAUUUUCAAUAAAGACAAUAAAAGCUGA